ACAUGCUUACAUCAUAGCAUUAAUGCACUGGAUCCCAUUAUAACUCUGCAUUUAAGCAUGCUCGGACUAGGGUAGUGUUGGGAUGGGUGACCCCCCGGGAAGUCCUAGUGUUUUACAUGCC
rfam:Picea glauca, whole genome shotgun sequence.